ACCUACGGGGCGCAGCAGUGGGGGAUAUUGCACAAUGGGGGGAACCCUGAUGCAGCGACGCCGCGUGGGUGAAGGAGCGUUUCGGCGCGUAAAGCCCUAUCGGCAGGGAAGAAGAUGACGGUACCUGACCAAGAAGCCCCGGCUAACUACGUGCCAGCAGCCGCGGUAAUACGUAGGGGGCAAGCGUUAUCCGGAUUUACCGGGUGUAAAGGGAGCGUAGACGGCGAUGCAAGUCUGAAGUGAAAGGCGGGGGCCCAACCCCCGGACUGCUUUGGAAACUGUAUGGCUGGAGUGCAGGAGAGGUA
rnacentral:rRNA from 1 species